GGAUUCGAGUCAGAUUAUUGGCUGAGACAUUCAAGCAGAUGUUUUAGCAAGGGUCGUACAACUAAAGUGUAGUGGGAUGGACUGUGUAAAUUAUAAAAGUCUAUAGGACAAGAAUGUGAGUGAGGGGAUACACAAGCAAUUCACAUAUUCAUAAGUUAUUUGUCGCAAUAAGAGAGUGGCUCCACACCCAACGAAAUAGUCCCAGGGGUGUGUGCCUGUGGACACAAACAAGUGAAUUGACACCGGUUUGCAUUCACAAAGACUGAUAGAAGUGUCCUCUAAUUGCUGUGCCUGCCCCACGGAGGCUGAGGACCCCACCCAAUCAAUCGAGGGACGGGAUCGGGCCCAGAGGUCCACCCGAGAGCAGCCCACACGUCCCACACCGAGAGACCCAGGGCGGUCCGCUGGCCCCACCGAGGCUUCCCGACAACUGGCCACCCGGCGGAGGCCGCAGGGACCCAAAACCAUUUAAAUGUGGGUUUAAAUGGAAUUAUUGAAAAUAAAUAAUUUAUUUGAGGUAAGGUUUUCAUUUUUAUUGUGGCUAUUCUUCCCAGUAGUGAUAUUGGCAAGUUAUUCCAGGGUCUUAAAUCAUCGGAGAGUCGCAGAAUUUCAAAAACUCAUCACGAAAGAAUCAAAAUCCGGGUCCGUCAAUAGGGACGUGUUGAAGCGCCAUGUUGGUGUGGGUCCCAAACUUGGCUCAACUUUUAGAUUGAGAGAAAUGCAUGGUGCAUGGUCGUUGAUGAUGAUUGGAUGUAUUCUGGGGGUAAUUAUUUGAGCUGCCGAAUUGUGUGAGAGAAAAAAAAUCUAUUCUUGAGAAGGAGCGGUGAACCGACGAGAAAAAUGUGUAUUCUCUUUUUCUUCAUUUUUUCAGCCUCCCUAUGUCAACAAGAUCAAAGUCGUCCAUAUACUGCUCUAGAAUAUUGGGGCAUUGUGGCUGAUUGCUAUUUUUGAGAUUUGAUCGAUCUAUUAGGGGAUUUAGCGUAAGGUUAAAAUCAUCUACCAUGAUAAUUGUAGAAUUGGCUAACAAGUGUGAAAAGAGCAUGUGAAAAAGGGCUGGAUCAUCUUUAUAAGCAGCGUAUACAUUGACAAUUGUGUAAUGCUUGUUAAAUAUUGUAGCUUGUAUAAUUAUGUAUCGGCCUUCUGGAUCUGUUACUGUACUAUUUAUUGUAAAAAGUAGUCUUUUAUGCACUAGUAUUGAGACUCCUCUUUGUCUACUGUUAUAAAAGGCAGAGAUAGCCUGAGUGAAAUUAGAGUCGAGGGAUUUUUCUUCUGACUCAAUAAGGUGUGUUUCUUGUAAUAGGAGGAGGUCUGUUUAAAAUGUAGUUAUAUAAUCCAUAAUCUUAAUUCUCUUUCCCUGUGAUCGAAUGCCAUUGACAUUCCAUGACACAAAAGUUAAGUGUGACAUAUAAUGGGUGCGUGUAUCAUACUUUGAAAUAGAUUUGGUACUAUGCAAUCUUUGUUGUUGUUUUUUUGCCCGUUUUUGCGAGAUUUUUUUGGUAUUGUGUUGACAAAUGUUAUUUAGAGAGGGUGAUAGAGAUGCUAUAUUUUAGUACAGCAAAGCCAGGGUACAUAGAAGGGUAAAGAAAGAAAACUGAACAUAGAAAAUAAACAAUGACAAGGGGAUAAUAUGGCGUGUGGUGGUUGUUUGCAGUGCGCAAGAAGAGUUUUGAGCGACUUGUGUGUUUAGUACGUGUGGAAACAAGCAGAGCAGAAAAGCAGACAGACCGUUUUUUUGUUUGUCUAAGCAAAUGUUUUUACGCCUCUCAUUGAUUUCCUUGAGGAACUGAUCGUUCAUUCCAAACAAAGCUUCCUUUGAGCUUCCGACCUUUUGAUUUUACAAACACUUUUUGCUGAAAGUGUUCAAACUUCGCAAUGAUGGGACGUGGUCGGUUUCCUGGACAACGGCCUGCCAAUCGGUGGACACGCUGAAAGGUAAUCUUGACUGUAUCUUGCUGUAUCUUGACCGCGGACAUCAUGAACUUUUUAAUCUGCACCUCUGGGUCUUCCGGAGCAUUUUCUGGAAUGCCGGAGAAAAUUAGAUUGUUGUGCAUACGUCGUGAUUGAAUGUCCAGCGUAGUUCCUUUCAUGAGUUUAUAUUUCUGUCGAAGAGUUUGUAUUUCCACGUUGACAUCAUGUUUGAUCGAAGCGCAGUAUUCUCUAAUCUUAGCUCCCUGGCCUGUUGUUGUGUGAACUUUAAGCUCUUUCUGAGUUCGGCGAUCUCUUGGCGAAGCAAAUCAAGUGUAAUUGACAAUUUCUUGUUGAUUGAGAGGAGGACACUCGUCUGUGUCUCUGUCGAAUCGAGUAAAUCCUCAGUUGAAGUGGAAGAAUCAUCUGUUUUCCUCUUCAGCGGCAGCUCAACGCGCUGGCUCAGAUCAUCCAUGACAGGCGAGUUGGCGUUGACGUAGCUGCGCGGAUCGCAAGUAGCUCUCUACGAGUUGCCGCUGCUAGCGAAGCUGGUGAAGGAAAAGAGAAAAGAACGAAGCAACCAUCCGCCGCAGAAAAAGGAAAAAGACUGUCAUGUAAUAACUGCUUUUCCAAGUCUAUGCAAGGGGCGCCGCCAUGUUUUUUGUCUUUGGAAAUCACGCAAUCUCUCGUGUUGUCACAGCAUGCUCCCAGAUCUGUCACAGCAUGCUCCCGGAACCCGGUCUAACCCAGCUCCGUGCAAAGUUACACCACAUGCCGAGGAGCACCUGAUCGAGGCAAAUCUAUGGUGGUAUGGUUGGCUUUCCACUUAACAUAUUAUGGCCCCAACCAUGCUCACUGGAACAUUCAGAAGCUUAGAUAUGCGCCUGUAACCAAUGCCAUCAUUAUGUUUUGCAACAAUUAGUUUGCGAUGGUCUUGAGACAGCUCUUUGCUCUUACCCUUCAUGAGAUGUGUCUUGACUCACACCUUGGCAAUGAGACCUUUUUGUAGGCCAUCAAUUACGACUGAACCAGCUGAUAUUCAUUUGCACUGACAUGUGGCUGGAUUGCUGUUUGAUUAUUGAUGGAUUUUAGGUGUUGUCUUGACUUUCCAUGCCUUUUUGCACCUCCCUUUCUUCAUGUGUUCAAUACUUUUUUGCUUUGUCGUUUCACAUUAUUACACACAACAUAAUUUCUGAUCUUAUUUGUUCUACUUUCUUUGUAUGUAUGGAUUACUUGGGUUGUUCCUGACAUCUGGUGAAAAUUCCAUGUCAAUAGCACCUUUGGAAAUAUAUUUAGUGAGAAAAAUGGUGACAUGUUAAAUAAUUAUUUCAGCCACUGUAUUACAUUAGAUGUAUCAGUGAAAUGGUGAUAUCCGAGAACAUCUCAAGUAUAACUAUGAAUAGUGCUAUGAACAAAUCGGUGCUAAUUUCAAAUUCACACGGGAGUGUGGCAAAAAAUAAGAAAAAAAUCAGAAUUCUCAGAUUUGAAUGAACAAAAGAAUGAUCAAAGAAUAACAUACUACUACAACAUGCUGCCCCGCUGCAUUUACUUCCUUUGUUUUACGGUCAACAUCUUGACGUAAGGGGCACAAACAUAUGCGCAGUUGUAAAGUAGCUUCCAAGUGCUGUCGUUUAUCAUGUAUCACAGAUGCACGUAGCCAUCUCCCUCGAGAUGAUAAUCUCUGUGGAGCAAGGUGUCCCAUGGCCAUGCCCAAAGAGCUGCAUGGAUAUUCAUGACCGUGAUAGAAUGACUGGGAGAAACUUCUGCAAGAUUAAUUCAUCACAUUGUGGAAGAUGAUUGCUAGCCGCUAGCAGCUAACUUUCUGAGCCAGCGUGGAUUUCAGCAUUUUCCAGCACAGACCAGGCAUCCUGGUUAACUCAUUUAAUGCCACGGACGUAUUAAUACGUUUUCAUAAACCCAUCCGUUUAGUGCCAUGGAUGUAUUAAUACGUUUUCAGUGGUUUUUUUAAAUAAUAUUGUAAUAGAGGGUUUGACGCAGCUCCACAAGUAUCUAAGGGUUGGGAAGGAUUUUAGUAUGUUAAAUCGACAUCAGAGGGCAGCAGUAGCUUUGAUCAGAAUUUUGUCAGCAUGUCAGAGGAAGACUAUUUCCCUCUGACUAUAUUACUAUGACUACAUCUGAUGGUGGAGCGUUACAGUGGCGUGGUUGAGCGAGAGAGACACGGUGAGCCAGUUGGAGCGAAAAACAAGCAGGGCUUCCUCCAUAAGCCUGCAGAAAGUCACCGACGAGUUGGUGCAACCAUCAGCAGAUGCACUCCCACACCUGUUGGCAAGAAAGGAGGUGCAUCAAGCAGUGGUGUGGCUGUUCAUGGCUGGUCGUCUGCUGACUGGCAACCCCCAAAAGUCCAACAUGCACGCACCCAAACAUGCACAGACACAUGCAUACACACAUGGGCACGGACAAACACACACACACACACAAACAAACACACACACACACACACAGCUGUACAUACUUGAAAGUUCAUGCAUCAUCAAUUUGAAAAUGCAUGUGUUAGACUUGUAAAUAAACUGUACUUUCCCAUCAAAAUACCCUUUUUGAGUUUUUUUAUAUUGUUGUUAUAAAGUAGGAAAACAUUGUUUAGAUAUUUGAGCUAUCAUAAAAGUAAAAAUAUUAACAUCAAAGUGAAAGUUCUGCUUGAAAUGCAUCAUUUCACAAAAGGCUCUUUUUCUCUGUUUUUUUUUUGGAAACAGGUAUUUUCAAGAAACUUACCUAUGUUCAACUGCUGCUUGCAAAAUAAUGGUAGAAAGUAGAAAUUUACUUUUUUUUCCUGAUGAAAGAAGAGGGUUAGAUAUUUCUUUUGGUGAGCGUUAUGUUUCUAUAGCUAUCGAACACAAUUUUUUGUAGGCCUUCAAAAUCAGUUAAAAUUGUCAAAAAUAGCUGGCACCUGGCUCUCACGAUUUCUGAAAAACGGCUGGCAUUAAAUGAGUUAAAGUGAGCCAUUUUAAAGUAAAAAGAAGCGUUUUGACAACCUCUUUUUGGCAGUUGCUAGAAUGUGUCAGCGUACCCUCUUUCUGGUGUUGACAAAAUCUGCGACCCCCCAAAAAAAUUUAAAUAAAUAAAAUAAACAGCUGCUAGGAUAGUUUUCAAAUAAUCAAAUUGUUUUUUAAGUUGUUGGACAAUUACGUCUAUUUGGAAUAUUAACGUAAUAUUUUGGAAUAGUACAAGGAGUAGUACAAGGAGAAACGAUUGUGAUUCGUCAGUCAUUCGUUACUGUCAAUGCAGGUGAAACUGUGACCAGCACCGCCUGACUGGAUAAACACGCAGGAAUUUGGGUUAGCCUCAAGACGAUAGCUGAAGCUAAUGCCGCUAGCCACAUAUAGCAGCUUGUACUUUGCAACGUGUGGAAUGUUAAUCUGCCCUCCCUGAGCGUGGUUUAAACUGUAUAUUGACAGCCCAGUUGGAGUUUACUGUAAAAUUAAGCGCAGAACAAAAAUUAUUAUUAUUUUAUAUUCAAAUACAAGACAUAUCGUUUUAGAAAUCGCCAUAUUGAUACUAACAGUCAAUCGAAAAUUCUAUUGACGGCCUUGCUAAUAUUAGCAUUCGGUCACGGGAGGGAUUUACCUUCAAACAACAAAUAUUCACACAUAACGUAACAUAUACAGACAGGUAAUAUAACAAUACUCACGGGCAUAUAGUUUUCUUAAUCUGUGAAAAAUUUGUUUAUUAUAUAUCGCAACUUUCUUCAUCUACUCUUUUUUUUUUGCUUACUGAAAAUGAGUCAAACAGCAAUGACACUUACGGUAUCUGAAGAAUCCAAUAUAACAUCCACUAUGGGAAUAUUGAUUGAUUGAAUUUGUUGCAUAGACACGAUGAGGAGUAUGAGGAAGAUCUUGAGCUGCAUAUACAGUUGACUUUACGCCUAUAAUUAGCAUUUUAUGCUGAUCGGCUUUAACAUCAUAAUUCGCUGAAGAUAUUUACUCCACAUCGCCGUCAAGUUAAAGUUAUUUUUAAAAAAAACAUGUCGGCGGUGUGGUACCGAUAACACGUAAUCAGACUACAAGACAAAUUUGGUCUUUCACGAUUGGACUGUGUCAGACUACUGCAAUAAAAUAUUGUAUUCCGAUACCACCACAUCCCGUUUUUUUACGAUCACUGGGCUUCAUCUUGUCAACUCAAACGCGACAGGAUACACUCGUUACCAUGGCGAUGACAACACUAGUGAAUCACGCAGGGGGGAAAAUGUGUAUUGGUUGUCACCGGUGCUCGGGAGAGGACGUUCCUUUAAGGCUUGCUUGAGGUAUGUUCACGUACUUUUAAUACGACACCACUCGAAAGCAGGCAACAAAACGUUAUGGAGGCUAGCAAGCUACUGCUAGCACUAACUGUUCAAAGCAAACAUUCUGUCGAAUCAUGCGCUAAAGUUUGGGUGUGUGUGAAGUAAUUUAAUUACAAUAAAGUAAUUUAAAGAGCAUUCAUUUGUUAUGUCUGUCACUAUGCUUCACUGGCAUAAAUAGAUGAACAAAGAUACGUUAUUUAUUGUAAAUAUCAUUUUUGAGCAAUUAAGUACACAAGUAUAUCCAGUAAGCGAACAAGUCAUUUAAAUAGACACAUUC